UAAGGAAUAUUGCUCAAUGGCCGCAAGGCUGAAGCAGCAACGCCGCGUGAGGGAUGAAGACCUUUUGGUUGUAAACCUCUGUAGGAAGGGAGAAAUUUCCCGCUCUGCGGGAUUUGAUAGUACCUUCAAAGUAAGCCCCGGCUAACUACGUGCCAGCAGCCGCGGUAAUACGUAGGGGGCAAGCGUUGUCCGGAUUUACUGGGUGUAAAGGGUGCUCAGGUGGCUUGGUAAGUCAGAGGUGAAAUUCUAAAGCUUAACUUUGGAACUGCCUUUGAUACUAUCGAGCUUGUGUACGGGAGAGGCUGAUGGAAUUUCAGGUGUAGCAGUGAAAUGCGUAGAUAUCUGAAAGAACACCAGUGGCGAAGGCGGUCAGCUGGCCCGGUACAGACACUAAAGCACGAAAGCGUGGGUAGCAAACAGG
rnacentral:rRNA from 1 species